CGGAUUCCUAGAUUGGGUACUCAGGGAAGGCCUCUUUGAAGAGACGGAGCUUGCAGCGAGGAGAAACCAGGCAGGUGCUGUAAAGCACGCUCCUGCCAGGGGAACAUCAUGUGCAAAGGCCCUGAGGUGAAAAAGACAUGCGCUGUGUGCUGGGAGUAGAGAGAGAAAGACACCAUGAACCCCGUCCGCAAUGCAGCCUUGUCCUGGAAAUGACAGUGUUGAGGGAACAAAGACAGCCGGAAGGAAGAGGAGUUUGACCUUGUGGGAGCAAACCUGGGAAGCCUUCCUGGAGGAGAUGAUACUCUAACCCGAAUGUUGAAAAUGAAUGGGAAUUUGCUACUGGCUGGAAGUGGCUGGGCAGGGAGGAGGUGGUAGAGAGGAUGGUGGUGUGUGCAUGCAGCUGCGAAGGCUGAGUGACUGCCGGGAGUGGGAUGGGAGGGAGCAGCGAGCCCAACGCCGUGGAGUGGUCCUCUUGCAACGCUGGCAUCUGUCUGCCUGGGGAGAGUGGGGACCUUGGGGGCUGCUGGGCCGGCGGCCUGUACCACAUGGCUGGGCAGGCCGGCCGCUGGGAAGCCCUCUUCCUUCCCUCCAUCCCUCUCCCCUCCUCUCUGCUGCUCACAACGUGGUCCUGAAAUGACACCAAGAGCAGCUGCUUAAGCGAUUUUGCCAAUUAAUGGGUCUCUGAAAUUAAACCGCCUGCACAGCCUG